rnacentral:rRNA from 1 species
UACAGAGGUCUCAAGCGUUUGUUCGGAUUCAUUGGGCGUAAAGGGUGUGUAGGUGGCGCGCUAAGUCGGGUGUGAAAUCUCGGGGCUUAACUCCGAAACUGCAUUCGAUACUGCCGUGCUUGAGGACUGGAGAGGAGACUGGGAUUUACGGUGUAGCGGUGAAAUGCGUAGAUAUCGUAAGGAAGACCAGUGGCGAAGGCGGGUCUCUGGACAGUUCCUGACGCUGAGGCACGAAGGCCAGGGGAGCAAACGGG